rnacentral:rRNA from 1 species
CAGUAGCCACGGUAAUACGGAGGGUGCAAGCGUUAUCCGGAUUUAUUGGGUUUAAAGGGUCCGUAGGCGGACUUAUAAGUCAGUGGUGAAAGCCUGUCGCUUAACGAUAGAACUGCCAUUGAUACUGUAAGUCUUGAGUAUAUUUGAGGUAGCUGGAAUAAGUAGUGUAGCGGUGAAAUGCAUAGAUAUUACUUAGAACACCAAUUGCGAAGGCAGGUUACCAAGAUAUAACUGACGCUGAGGGACGAAAGCGUGGGUAGCGAACAGGAUUAGAUACCCCUGUAGUCCCUGUCUCUUAUAC